GGUGAUGGUUCGUCGGCCGCACGCCUCCGGACGUGGCCGACCGGCAACCGCGUCUCCCCGACACGGUGCCCUCCGGAGAAGACCCGGGCCGCUCAGCGGUCAAGUUGGGGCC
rnacentral:ncRNA from 2 species